GNGUAGGGGGAUNGANUCCNUUUGUNCCGCAGCUAACNCAAAAAGUUUNCNCCUGGGGAGUACNGCCCCCANGNUGAAACUCAAAGGAAUUGACGGGGCCCGCACAAGCGGCGGAGCAUGCGGAUUAAUUCGAUGCAACGCGAAGAACCUUACCNAGGCNUGACAUGGACUGGAAAUACCUGGAAACAGGUGCCCCGCUUGCGGUCGGUUCACAGGUGGUGCAUGGUUGUCGUCAGCUCGUGUCGUGAGAUGUUGGGUUAAGUCCCGCAACGAGCGCAACCCUCGUUCUAUGUUGCCAGCGCGUUAUGGCGGGGACUCAUAGGAGACUGCCGGGGUCAACUCGGAGGAAGGUGGGGACGACGUCAAAUCAUCAUGCCCCUUAUGUCUUGGGCUUCACGCAUGCUACAAUGGCCGGUACAAAGGGUUGCGAUACUGUGAGGUGGAGCUAAUCCCAAAAAGCCGGUCUCAGUUCGGAUUGGGGUCUGCAACUCGACCCCAUGAAGUCGGAGUCGCUAGUAAUCGCAGAUCAGCAACGCUGCGGUGAAUACGUUCCCGGGCCUUGUACACACCGCCCGUCAAGUCACGAAAGUUGGUAACACCCGAAGCCGGUGGCCUAACCCCUUGUGGGAGGGAGCUGUCGAAGGUGGGACUGGCGAUUGGGACUAAGUCGUAACAANGUAACCAAGCGGAAUUCUGCAGAUAUNNUNNCCCNCCUGGNGAANAGCUCGAUGCAUGCAUCUAGAGGCCCAUCG
rnacentral:rRNA from 1 species